AUGUUCACACGCAUUACUCUUUCUCUUUCUCUUUUAAGCCAUAAUUUCUGUGUUUUAAGAUUUCGAGCCACUCUUUCUCCUUUCUUCCCUAAAGCUUAUAAACCGCUUCAUCAGAAAGUUUUAAGAAUUUGUUGUCUGUUUCCAGCCAUGGCAGCAAAUCGUUUUUCCACAAUAGUCGCCAUGCUUUUGGUUGUUUCGGUAGCUCUCGCUUCUCUCCCACCUCCACCUCCAGGUACUUUUGCUUCUGCACCAUAA